UCUUCGGGUCCCCAGGGGCUACGCACAGAUCCCGGAUGAGCCCCCAAAUGAAAGACCCUCGCUCUAGUCUCAGGAUGGCACGCCCCAGGAAACAGGAGAGACC
rnacentral:pre_miRNA from 14 species